GCUGAAAUUAACUGAACUUGGCACUAACCAGCUGAAUCAGAGGGAUGAAAUGGUUGGAUAUGUUAAUGAAAGGUGAUAAAGCAGACCAAUGGACAAUCCUUAAAGUAAGACCCUGGAAAAAGGCCAAAUUAAAAGUUGUGCUUGUAAUGGGUUGAACAAAGGAAUACGCUGAGAGGAUAAAUUAUGGGCAAUAUGCUAACUGCAGAAAGACCAAUCUGAAAGCAAGGAGUCAUCAAAGGAGUCAAGUUAAAGAAAAGCAUAAAAGCGGGGAGCGAGAAAGUUAAGUGUGUUGUCGUUAUCAUCAUGAUUUUCAUCACAAAUCCAGCUUUCAACACCUGUCUGGAUCGGCCCAGCCAACAAUACACCCUUUGCUUCAGGAACUGAGUGGCUGUCUUUUCUGUGAAGCAAAGUAACAUCUGGGAUUGGGCUCUUCCACGAUUCAAGUUAAAUCAUAGUCUCUGAGCAUCUGAUGGCUGCAACUGUGGACUACAGAUCCCAGAGGCACCUGGAAGCAUGAAGAGGAAGUGAUGAGCAACCUGCAGAGUCCCGAUGCUGUAAUUCUGGAUUGCAAAUCCCAGAGACCUCCAGGGUAUCAGGAAGAGGAAGUGAAGACACAGCCAGUAGAGCCAUGCUCUAGCACCCCCCCACACCCCACCCCACCCCAGGGGUUCUGCCUUGAACCGCAUUUCCAGAAUCAAAGGCAAGCCCAACUUCCAGACUACUGCAGCUGGUAGCACAUUUUGAAGAGGAGAUGAGCAGGUGACAGUAACAAAAGAACAGUUUAGGAACUACUUAAAAAAACUAGAUGUGCACAAGUCUCUGGGGUUGAAAGGGAUGCACCUGAAGCUACUGAGGAUGCUGGCUGAUGUGAUUGCACAGCUCCUGGCCAUUAUCUUUGAAAACUCAUUGAAAUCAGGAAAUGCCCCAGACAAUUGGAAAAGGAUAACUAUAGAGACCAUCCUGAAGAAAAGGAAGAAAGAAGAUCUGGAGAAUGAAAGACUGGUCUACAUCACCUAAGUCCCUGGAAAAAAUUAUGGAGCAGGUCAUCAAUGAAUCCAUUUCUAAAUACUUAGCAUGGAUUCACCAAGGGCAAGUCAUGCCUGACUAACCUGAUUGACUUCUGUGGAGAGAUGACUGGCUCUGUGAAUGUUGGGAGACCAGUGGAUAUGACUGACUUUGACUUUGCAAGGCUUUUGACACAGUUUCCCACAUCAUUCUCACAAGUCAGCUAAGGAAGCAUGGGUUGGAUAAUACUCUAAGAUGACUUUAUAUGCACUUAGCAUCAAGAACAGCCUGUGCACACAGAUGAAGGCCCUGACCUUGGAAGGAAGUCCAAACAGGCAUGCCUUUGAACACAGCAGAGACCCAAUGAGACCUUGUACAGCACUGCAAGUCAAUCAACAGAAUGCUUCUUCUAGGACUAAUUAGGCUCUAGGAAUGACGAAGAUAAAACAAUGGCACACUGGGCAAAGAAAAGCCAAGAGUACCAAAAUGUCUUUGAGUUUAUCAAGAUCAUGCAAACUCCUAGCCUUACCCUAAAGAUUUUCUGAAACUCCACCCAAUUGACUGUCAUGUGCAAAUUUUGCAGCUCAUCUAUAAAAUGGGGAUCAUAGUGCCACUUCCCUACCUGCACAGACUAUUGUGAAGAUAUAUAUAUAUAUAAAGGAUUCUGAAGACCUCAGCCACUAUGAUGAUGGCAACCAGAUAACUACAGAGGACAGAAAAGGGCAGUGAGUGAAGUUGUAUUUUCCUUAUUUUGUUGCUUUACCCACCAUGUGGUUUUAGGCAAUUCAAUCAGGGCAUAAUCCAAAAUAUAUUAUUAACAGUGGGAGUCUUCUCACUGACUUCAGUGGAUUUUGAAUUAGGCCUGAUAUGGUUAAAAACUUAAUGAAACUAUAAUCAAUUUAGCUGAAAAGAACACUAUUUCACUGUCACACUGAAAACUUACAUUAAAAGUAAUGAGUUCAAUUUACAAAAAAAUCACUUGCAGCUCUAAUGAGGAAUGAGUUAUAGCUUCUGACUAGUCAAAUAAAAAUCCCCUCCUUUUUAAAAAUUCAGUUUAUCUCAAUAGAGUUAUACAUUUUUUUUCUAUAAAAGUAUUUCAUUAUUUGAAACUACUGUACCUACCUUUUUCAUGUCUUGUCUAGUUUUACUGUACCCCUACAGGCAUUAUAUUCCCUGAGUAUGAUCAAAAAGCAACUGCAGAAAAAACUGUCCAGCUGAAGAAAACUGUGGUAGGAAAGUAGAAGUCCUUGACUCCUCAUACAUCUUGCUUUAUUUUACCAGAAUAAAGGUUCAUCCCUUGCAGCGUGCUCUCAGCCUAACAUGAAACAUGCCUGAAACUACUAGAGUUCAGCACUGGUUAUGCAAAGGAGCCCAGUGGUUAAAUAUUGUCACACAAGCAGAUAGUCACAUUAAAAGCCAGUCAGUCCCUACUCUCAAUGUUUCAUGGCAUAUAGUCUUAAAUAACUGGGGUGUUGUUUGUUUGUUUGUUUGUUUGUUUUAUACAACCAGGGCUGAACUUGCUUAAAAAUUUUUCACAGAGGUGAUUCAUUUUAGGGGCCAUUUUUGAGUGGUGUUAUGAAGAUGAAAAAUUAUUUCCAUGCAGAACAAUACUGAACUAUUUUACACACCUUUCAAAUUGACCUACAAACUGUACACAUUACACAGAAAUUUCUUCACUCAGAAAUGAAAUACCAUUACUUCUGAGGAGCAAUGCAGGAAUUGAAAGUCUAAUAUAAUUGAAUCGAGGCAAUUUUUCACAAAAGCGAUCCUAUCUGGAAUAUCGCCAUUAGUACAUAUGAUGCAGUGGAAGAAUUCCAUUUUUUCUAAAUUUUUUAUUGUUAUAAUGCAGAUAAAACCUAAUCACAGCUAUCUCCCAGAGCAUAUAUAGUAGUCACAAUUAAAAGGCUAGUCUGAUAUGUGAGAACUAAUUUAUUCAGCAGUGUCCCCAUUUUAAGUACAGAAGGAACAUGCAGUUAGUUUAUAUUGCUGUAGUUUCACAGAGGUCAGUAGAGCUAUAACAGUUCACAGCAUCUAAGGAUCCUUCUUUCUGAAGUGAUAGAGUGAAAUGGAUAUAUAUAUAUAUACACAUAUAUAUUUUAAAAGGGUAUUAUAAAUAUGUGUUGCUUUAUAAAAUUACAUAUGAUGGGUUCUUUAAUAUUAAAUGGUCAAGAGUUAAAGUCUUUUCUAGAAGAUGAAAUGUUAGUUUGCAUUAUCUUGUUUCUAAAUAUUAAUGAACACUAGAGCAGUCUAAUUAUCAGGGAUCCCGGUUUUCUCUGAUUUAAAAAAAUCCCCAAUUUUUGGAUUAAAAAAGGAACCCCAAAUCCACAUUUUUCUGUUAUUAAAAUGAAAUACCACUAAUAGAUAGAUAGAUAGUGGCAUUUCAUUUUAAUGGGUUACUUUUUAAAAUCUGAAUAUUGGAGAUUUUUUUUAUAAUAAAAAACCAGGAUCCCUGGUGAUAUGGGUGGAGCAGGGCUUCCCAAUAACCACUUGGAAUCCAGCAACAGACCACUACCGGUACCAGUUGGCCAGCAUCCUGUGAAUGGUAAAGUAUCACCCUUCCCUUAACAGCGGAGAAAGAGUACCCAGAAAGCAGGAAAUCUAGGGAGGUGGGAAGUCUUGAUAGCCUUAACGGUGAACACAGCGGUUGUGCUUCCCUAUAUAUUGCAAGCACACAGAUUGAGGGUCUGUGUUCUGUCUCUCUGUUCUCUCUCUCUCUCUGUAAGUUUCCACUCACCAUUGUAACAUAUUUCUUGUAUAUAAUAUUUUUGUUGUUAUUAUUUGUUAGUAUUAUAAUAUAUUCCUGUGGUUCUCACUUAACAAACAAAUCUGUUCAUUUUAUACUAAUUACUUUAGCAGUGGGAUAGCACUGGACUGUAUAUGAACACCCUGCUGAGACCUGCUUGCCACCAUUAAAUAUCCAGGACUGAAUUCUGGGAGAAGUAACACCCUCAAUUGCAUGAUUUAAUUCCUAGCAGGAACACUAGCACAUCCCAGUCAAAGUCCCCAGCUUUGGCUGUAGCCAACACCCAAUGCCUCUGAGGAAGGCUUAAAAAAAACCCCCAACCCUCCUGACAUACGUAGCAGCAGAAGAGUAAAAAAAAAACCUCCUGGUUCCUUGAGGCAACUAGCAAAUCCCAGAAGCAUAGGAAAUAUCCAUAACUGAUCAAAGGCAUAGCUACAUUUAAAUCAAAUCUGACUAGAUCGGUUGUCCAAUCUUCUUGAACUCCUCUAAUGAUAGAAAGUCCACAACCUCACUAGUCACUUUAUUACACAUCCUCAUGAUUUGAACAAUGAAGAUGUUCAAACUAAACUUGCUUCAACUUCAAGCCAUUGGUCCAGAUCCCACUCUCCACCACAAAAGAGAAAAGGUAAUUUUCCUUUUCUUUAUGAUAGCCAUGUAAGUGUUUGAAUGUUCCUACCAUAUCCCUUUUCUGAAAGCUGACCAUGCCUUUUCCUUCAAACUUUCCUAAAAUUAUUUCUUUCAAAGUCUUUAUCACUUUUUCUGCCUGCCUCUGGCCUUCUCUAACUUUUCCACAUCUUGUUUUAAAAAUGUGGAGCCUAAAACUGCACACAAUACCCUAGAUAAGGCCUAACCAGUGCUGAGUAGAGAGGCACUGUUAUCUCUAAUGUCUUGCACCUAAUGCUUCUAUUGGUGCAUCCCAAAACCAUAUUUGCUUUUUGUUGAGCUGCAUGACACUGCAGAAUCCUAUUGAGUCCACGAUCUACCAAGACUCCCUGAUCCUUCUCUGCAGUGCUGCUAUCCAUCCAGGUGUCACCCAAUAUUUUGAGAUCCUUCUGAAUUGUGCUCCUGUCCUCCAUGUUUACAAUCUUUUCUGCUACAUUUCAUCUGCUAACUUGAUCAAGAAGUUUUCUGUCCUGGCAUCCUAACAAUUAAUAAACACAUUGAACAGCACUGGGCCCAGGCCAGACCCCUGUAGGACCUCAUUCAAAACCACCUGUCAUCCUAACAUAGAUCCAUUUAUAUAAUUACCCUUUGCUUGCAGCUAUUCAACCAGUUGUCUAUCCACAUUAUAGUAGUUUUGUCCAGCCCACAUUUAUCCAAAUUGUUUAAGAAAAGGGCAUGUGGAACUUUGUCAAAAGCCUUGCUGAAGAUCCUGCCUGUAGAUCCUGCCUGUAGAUCCUGCCUGACAAACCUUGUAGCCUUCUAUGACCAGGUCACACACUGCUUGGACGUGGGAGCCAAGGCUGAAAUCAUCUUCCUGGACUUUAGGAAGGCCUUCGACGCAGUUCCGCACCCUAUCCUCAUUGGAAAGCUAACAGACUGUGGAGUGGACACCUACAAGGUCAGGUGUCUACAUCAUCUUCAUCCAGAAGGACAUCCAAAGAUUGUAUCAAUAUUUCCUGGGUUUUCUGAGGUUCAGUUUCUCAUGCCCAAAUUGCAGUGGUCAUAGAAAAAGAUGGAGGCAUAUAAACACAAGUGUUUCCAUCAAUUUUCCAGAAGUGUGGCAUUGGAUUUAAGUCCAUUUUUUACCUCAGAAGACUUGAUUUACCAAGCAGUAAAAUACUAGUACAUCUACGUAUCUGCUUUUCUUCUGUAAGAAACAUUCUUGAUUUACAAUCAAUGCUUAUUCUUUUGCUAAUUCCAAGUAUUCUUCAAUAUAAUUACUUGUCUGAUGGAAAGUAGUGCUUUUAUUCAUAGGGGAGAUGGGAAUUCAACAUUCUUAAAAAAAAAAAAUCCUUUAUUUUUGCUUUACAGUGUUUAUUCUCUUCCUGUAACAAACAUCAGUUUUCUCCUCUCAAAUUAUUUACAUUAUAGGAUAAUUCAACAUAUAUAUAUUUUUCCAUAUAUCUAUAUAUCUAUAGAUAUAUCUAUGGAAAAAAAUAUACUCCAGCAUGUAAGAUCUGCAUUUAAAUUGAACAUAUAGUCUAAUUUAAUGUGUGCACGUGCACAUGCACCAUUCUAGAUGUUCAGGUUAAGGAGUCAUAGGAUCUCAUGCUCUGUCCACACAAUUGUACCACAUGAUAGAAGCAUGAUUGUGGGAUCUAGUAUCAGAUCACAUCAUGGUUUAUUGGCAGUUAUGGCAAGCCCAGCAUCCUCCUGCAUGAGAAAGUAGCAAGAUUCUGCAGCUGAGUCCCCCAGCUGAUUGGACUGGCAGCUGUGGCAAUGAAUGUUUCGUCUUUGUAUCUGGAGUUAACGGGGCUCCUAGCCAUGCGGGCACCUUGCUAUAUGUGCAAAUUAGAAACCAGCUAUAAAGUUAUUACACAUUUCCCAGCUCUAACUUUAUAGCUGGAUAGAUCUUUUUUAUGGCAUGAUAGUUAAUUUACCUGUUUAGUGAGUCUAAAUUAAUUGUGCAAUUAACCAGUUAAUUGCAUAAUACAUGUAACAUGUACAGGGGACUAGAGAAGGCAAAAAAUUGAAAAAAAAAUUAUUGAAAUAAGUAAUACCAGUUGAGGUAGAUAAUCAUACUAGUUUUAAUUACACUAUACUGAGGGGAAAGAAAUAAUUAGUUUUAGAAUAUCUCAAAUUAGUAUUUCUAAAUUGUUGGUAUAGUAUCUGUAGUUUUUCAGUAAAUGGAAGGUAAAUAUUUUGUAUGCAUCAUUAAACACUGCUAGGAAAGGAUUUUUUCUAUUUAGAUUUUUUCAUCCACUGGAAGUGGAAAAAGGCUAAAUGUGUCAGGAGCUCUUUCCCUUUAAUUUGUCUGCCAUGUAGUGCUUAGGAUGUUGGGCAAAGGUGAAAGUUAUCAAUUUGAUUUUAAAGGUUGGUACAGCUUAUGCAUCCCUCCUUACUUCUUGCCACCUAAAUCCAAGUACAAUCUAUUCUUAUAACUUUAGUAUUUCAGAGAUAGCUAACAUAAUAACCCAAUAUCCCUAUUUUUUAAGUUAUUCUGCAGGAAUUCAUUGCCCACACCUGCUGAAAAACAAUCAGGAUCAGAGAUCAACUCUACUUCCACAAAAGUCAGUGGCAAAUAUCCAGGGAGUCAAAAAAACCCUCACAAAAAAAAAAAAAAAAAAAAGAA